GCCCCGGUAGCUCAGCAGGAUAGAGCAACGGCCUCCUAAGCCGUAGGUCACAGGUUCGAAUCCUGUCCGGGGCGCCA
rnacentral:tRNA from 1 species